UGUUUGUAUAGUGUGUGUAUAUAAUGCAGUGUGUUUGUGUAGUGUGCAUUAUAUAAACACACUGCAUUAUAUACACACACUACACAAAC